UGCCAGCCGCCGCGGUAAUACGGAGGGAGCGAGCGUUAAUCGGAAUUACUGGGCGUAAAGCGCGUGUAGGCGGUUCGUUAAGUCUGAUGUGAAAGCCCGGGGCUCAACCCCGGAAGUGCAUUGGAAACUGGCGAACUUGAGUACGGGAGAGGAAAGUGGAAUUCCGAGUGUAGGGGUGAAAUCCGUAGAUAUUCGGAGGAACACCAGUGGCGAAGGCGGCUUUCUGGACCAAAAUUGACGCUGAGGCACGAAAGCGUGGGUAGCAAACAGGAUUAGAUA
rnacentral:rRNA from 1 species